rnacentral:rRNA from 1 species
AUUGAACGCUGGCGGCAUGCCUUACACAUGCAAGUCGAACGGCAGCACGGGUGCUUGCACCUGGUGGCGAGUGGCGAACGGGUGAGUAAUACAUCGGAACGUACCUUAUCGUGGGGGAUAACGCAGCGAAAGCUGUGCUAAUACCGCAUACGCCCUGAGGGGGAAAGCGGGGGAUCGAAAGACCUCGCGCGAUUAGAGCGGCCGAUGCCUGAUUAGCUUGUUGGUGGGGUAAAGCCACCAAGGCGACGAUCAGUAGCUGGUCUGAGAGGACGAUCAGCCACACUGGGACUGAGACACGGCCCAGACUCCUACGGGAGGCAGCAGUGGGGAAUUUUGGACAAUGGGGGGAAACCCUGAUCCAGCAAUGCCGCGUGAGUGAAGAAGGCCUGGUGUAAG